rnacentral:ncRNA from 1 species
UAACAAGUUUUCUUUAUAAGUUUUUAUGUUUUAUAAGGAAAUCGAAAGGGAAGUUUGGUGAAAAUCCAACGCGGUCCCGCCACUGUAAGGGUGAGUUUUUUUAUAUUGAUGCCACUGGAUAAAAUAAUUUGGGAAGGCGUAAAAAGACGAUGAGCCUGAGCCAGGAUACCUGCUUGUUUGAUGCUAAUAAA